rnacentral:rRNA from 1 species
GUGAACGCUGGCGGUAGGCCUAACACAUGCAAGUCGAACGGCAGCACAGUAAGAGCUUGCUCUUACGGGUGGCGAGUGGCGGACGGGUGAGGAAUACAUCGGAAUCUACUUUUUCGUGGGGGAUAACGUAGGGAAACUUACGCUAAUACCGCAUACGACCUACGGGUGAAAGCAGGGGAUCUUCGGACCUUGCGCGAGUGAAUGAGCCGAUGUCGGAUUAGCUAGUUGGCGGGGUAAAGGCCCACCAAGGCGACGAUCCGUAGCUGGUCUGAGAGGAUGAUCAGCCACACUGGAACUGAGACACGGUCCAGACUCCUACGGGAGGCAGCAGUGGGGAGUAUUGGACAAUGGGCGCAAGCCUGAUCCAGCCAUACCGCGUGGGUGAAGAAGGCCUUCGGGUUGUAAAGCCCUUUUGUUGGGAAAGAAAAGCAGCAGGUUAAUACCCCGCUGUUCUGACGGUACCCAAAGAAUAAGCACCGGCUAACUUCGUG